AGGAAUUCCAGGAUAAAUUACUUGAGCUGGAGAUGAGGCCUCUUUCCUGGGUAUCUCCUACUGAGCUCGGAGGGCCACCUUGCCAGCUGAUGGCCAGACACGGUCAUUCCCACCGCCAUCCCUUUCUCCGCGGCAGUCCUCCUGCCUGGUAUGGCGUCUCUUCAGAUCCUUUCCAUUCUACAGCUCUCCACUGAACUCCAUAUUUCUGCAAGUCCUAAGCAUUCCCCUUUCCCCACCACCCAAUCCUUGCCCGUGUGUCCUUGUGUUGUAAUGGAGAUUGCUUUC
rnacentral:lncRNA from 1 species